UAAUUCCCCAAAUCAUUCUUUUCAUCAUCACACGCUUUAUAUUUUCUUCUCCCUAAAACAAAGGCGUAAGUUUUGGGGGAAAUAAAAUUAAAAAAAAUAAAUCAAGAUAUCAAAAAAGGGAGUUUUUCUUUUGUGGGGAAUGUUGUCUGGCUCGAGGAAAUCUUCAAUCUUGAUUAAUUUUAAUUUUUUUAAUCUGUUUUUUAAUAGUAAUUACUAUGUUGUUACAUAGAUCUAUACAAUAUUUAUGAUAGAUCUAUGAAUUUUUUAUCAUAUUGUUGAGUAUCGUCGGACCAGGCUUCAUUCCCCUCAAAGGUUAUUACUAUCGCAAAAUUAAAUUCAGAUCUUUUUUGAUAUAAGAUCUGUUCAAAACCCUCUUAUUCUUUUGGUUUUCAAAGGUUUUUCUCACUCUCUUUCUCUCACAUUAACAACACGGUACGUAUUGUUUCGUAAUGUAAUGUAUUGUUUAUAUGAAUAUAAGGUAAGAAAUUCAAUUACAUUGUGUUGUUCUGUAUUACUAAAUGUUACAUAUCAAUAAUUUAAAAGAUAAAUCUACGACAACACUAAUAUAUUGUUGAAAUAACAUAACCUUUUAAUAUAUGCAUUACUAUAUAUUACUAGAUCUGACCAUUUUGUUCUGAUAAUAUCAAGAUUAUGUUGUAUUUUAUUAUCCCAUAGUUUACAUUAUUUCAGCUAUUACUGUAUUCUCGAGUUUUGUUUUCAAUGUUGGGGAAACUAAACUCACUUUAGGAAUAUUCUUACUAAUCUCCACAUUUUACAUAUAAUUAAUAGGAUAUGGUAAAAUACUUAUUUGCAUUGGAUGUUUAUAGUCGAAUCAAGCCAGCUUACUAUGGAUAAGUUUUUUUCUACCAUAAAAAAUGGGAGUUAAUUUAAUUCUAAGAUAGAAUUUGUGCAUUUUUCAUAUUUGUCUUCUAAGCCGCAUGUCUAGCGAUAGAUUCAGAAUUUAAAUUGAUGUGUUUAACCUUUCAAGGUCAUCGUGUAGGUUUAGUUGAACAUAUUGAUCAAAGGUUUGCAUCAUUUCGUAUAUUAUAUAUACGAGGUCAAAAUUAAUUGUAUUAUAUAGUGAAUACUGAAUAUGUUAUUGUUGUUGCAGUAUCUGAACAUUAGCUACUUCUAGCCACAUUGUAUAGGAAA